GACGAACGCUGGCGGCGUGCUUAACACAUGCAAGUCGAACGGUAAGGCCCCUCGGGGUACACGAGUGGCGAACGGGUGAGUAACACGUGGGUGAUCUGCCCUGCACUUCGGGAUAAGCCUGGGAAACUGGGUCUAAUACCGGAUAGGACCACUGCCUGCAUGGGUGGUGGUGGAAAGCUUUUGCGGUGUGGGAUGGGCCCGCGGCCUAUCAGCUCGUUGGUGGGGUGAUGGCCUACCAAGGCGACGACGGGUAGCCGGCCUGAGAGGGUGACCGGCCACACUGGGACUGAGAUACGGCCCAGACUCCUACGGGAGGCAGCAGUGGGGAAUAUUGCACAAUGGGCGCAAGCCUGACGCAGCGACGCCGCGUGAGGGAUGACGGCCUUCGGGUUGUAAACCUCUUUCAGCACCGACGAAGCGCAAGUGACGGUAGGUGCAGAAGAAGGACCGGCCAACUACGUGCCAGCAGCCGCCGUAA
rnacentral:rRNA from 1 species